rnacentral:rRNA from 1 species
ACUCCUACGGGAGGCAGCAGUGGGGAAUAUUGCACAAUGGGGGGAAACCCUGAUGCAGCCAUGCCGCGUGUGUGAAGAAGGCCUUCGGGUUGUAAAGCACUUUCAGUUGUUGAGGAAAAGUUAGUAGUUAAUACCUGCUAGCCGUGACGUUAACAACAGAAGAAGCACCGGCUAACUCCGUGCCAGCAGCCGCGGUAAUACGGAGGGUGCGAGCGUUAAUCGGAAUUACUAGGGCGUAAAGCGCACGCAGGCGGUUUGUUAAGCUAGAUGUGAAAGCCCCGGGGCUCAACCUGGGGAUGGUACAUUUAGAACUGGCAGACUAGAGUCUUGGAGAGGGGAGUGGAAUUCCAGGUGUAGCGGUGAAAUGCGUAAGAUAUCUAGGAGGAACAUC